ACAUAUAUUCACAUAAUAAUCAUCUAGAAUUUUCGAAACAAUAUAUGAAAAUCAGUUUUAAAAAUAUAAUCAUUUAUCAAUAACACAAUAACCCGGGGUUUAAAUAUAAAACCUUGAAAACUCAUUAAACUGGAAUAAAAUAUUAAAUCUUAUUCCUUUCUUUUUAAGAAAAUCAUUUAUAAUAUUAAUAAAAAUAUUUUUAAAAUCCGGGUUAUUACAAUCUACCCUCCUUAUAGGGAUUCCGUCCUCGGAAUCAGAGAAAGAAGGAGGACGCAUAAUUUUGUAAAAUCCAUAUCAAUCCACAAAACAAGUAUAAUCACAUAAAACUAUUCACAUAAUCAAUUCACUUUUCAACUAAAGCCAACAAUAAUAUUUAGACAAAUAGAUUUAUAAUAAUCAAAUCUAAAUUUAAUAAUAUGGGAUAUUACAUUCUACCCCCCUUAUAAGGAUUCCGCCCUCGGAAUCCGCGAAGAAAACUAAAACGUAUCAUUUGUAAAAUCA
rnacentral:lncRNA from 1 species